rnacentral:rRNA from 1 species
CCCUUAGAUGUUCUGGGCCGCACGCGCGCUACACUGAUGCAUUCAACGAGCCUAUCCUUGACCGACAGGUCCGGGUAAUCUUUGAAUCUGCAUCGUGACGGGGAUAGAUUAUUGCAAUUAUUAAUCUUCAACUAGGAAUGCCUAGUAGGCGCAAGUCAUCAGCUUGCGUCGAUUACGUCCCUGCCCUUUGUACACACCGCCCGUCGCUCCUACCGAUUGGGUGUGCUGGUGAAAUGUUCGGAUCGGCCGUUUGUCGCGGUUUCCGCGGCUCGUGGCUGAGAAGUUCAUUAAACCCUCCCACCUAGAGGAAGGAGAAGUCGUAACA